UGGGGAAUUUUGGACAAUGGGGGCAACCCUGAUCCAGCCAUCCCGCGUGUGCGAUGAAGGCCUUCGGGUUGUAAAGCACUUUUGGCAGGGAAGAAACAGCCUGGGAUAAUACCCCGGGCGACUGACGGUACCUGCAGAAUAAGCACCGGCUAACUACGUGCCAGCAGCCGCGGUAAAUACGUAGGGUGCAAGCGUUAAUCGGAAUUACUGGGCGUAAAGCGUGCGCAGGCGGUUCGGAAAGAAAGGUGUGAAAUCCCAGGGCUUAACCUUGGAACUGCACUUUUAACUACCGAGCUAGAGUACGUCAGAGGGGGGUAGAAUUCCACGUGCAGCAGUGAAAUGCGUAGAGAUGUGGAGGAAUACCGAUGGCGAAGGCAGCCCCCUGGGAUGAUACUGACGCUCAUGCACGAAAGCGUGGGGAGCAAACAGGAUUAGAUACCCUGGUAGUCCACGCCCUAAACGAUGUCAACUAGCUGUUGGGGUUUAUUAACCUUAGUAGCGCAGCUAACGCGUGAAGUUGACCGCCUGGGGAGUACGGUCG
rnacentral:rRNA from 1 species